CCUACGGGUGGCAGCAGUGAGGAAUAUUGGUCAAUGGACGCAAGUCUGAACCAGCCAUGUCGCGUGCAGGAAGACGGCCCUAUGAGUUGUAAACUUCUUUUAUACAAGGGUAAACUCAGAUACGCGUGUCUUUCUGUAAGUACCUUAUGAAUAAGGAUCGGCUAACUCCGUGCCAGCAGCCGCGGUAAUACGGAGGAUCCAAGCGUUAUCCGGAUUUAUUGGGUUUAAAGGGUGCGUAGGCGGGUGGUUAAGUUAGAGGUGAAAUCCCGCGGCUCAACUUCGAAAUUGCAACUGAUACUGGUCGCCGAGAGUGCAGUUGCGGUAGGCGGAAUGUAUGGUGUAGCGGUGAAAUGCUUAGAGAGCAUGCAGAACACCGAUUGCGAAGGCAGCUUACCAAGCUACUACUGACGUUGAGGCUCGAAAGUGUGGGGAUCAAACAGGAUUAGAUACCCUGGUAGUC
rnacentral:rRNA from 1 species